CAACCACUACACUGAACAUACAGACAUCCAAUAUCUAUAUAUAUCCAUGCAUCAUUCACCACAGGUUCACAUUCAUGAUUUGAACAUAAAAUCACAACUAUCAGUUAAAACGUUUCCAACUCAGAAACGGAUUUUGAAAUACUAAGUUAUGAAAACUACGAAAAACCUUUUGAAAGCUGUUUCUCACACGGAAAUUCUUUUCUUUUAAAACGCGCUACCACGAGGGGUAAAAAACUAUUUUUUAUUUCACAAAAUCCACAAAUCCAUUUAUUACAUUCAUAAACACCCACAUUUUCAAAUGUAAUAAAAAUACUGAACCAUAUGAACUAUCUAAGCUAUAUCAACAGAAUAGUAAGGGUAGAAACUAAACCGAAUAACCUUGAUCGGAAGCUCUAUCGACCGCUACGUACGUAUCUCACGUCUCGUAUAAACCCUCACCGCCCGCGAUACCUGAAAAAUAGUGGGGGAGGUGAGAACAUGUAAACAUGUCUCCCCUCCCAGUGGGUACUGCAAGCCGAAGAAGGCGAGGAGUACUCACCGGAUCAGGAAGAGCUAAACAGCAGUACGGGUCAGUGGAAAUACAGUAGCAAUAAUAAUGAACGAAAGAGACAUAUAUAAAUGAAAGUACAACUAUCGCUACUGUAAUGAACAACUGAAUGUAUACAUGCAACAAAACUAUAGUAGCAAGACAACUGUAAAGAAAGAACGGUAAGUAUACAUGCAACAACCGCUACUAUAGUCAUAUGCGUAAACCGGAUAAGAAGUCCAAAUAUACCCAAUCUGGUACCUGCUAUAUUGGUCCACAGACCUCAAGCGUUGCCUGUCACAGAGGAGACACUGUCAACUUAUUCAUGCGUCACCGACGACCUAUCCGGAUACGUACACCCCUUGGUUGGUGGACAAACCAACCUGGUGUCUAGAAUACACAGUGCUGUGACUAAAUUAUGCUGAUAUGCUCAAAACAAAAACCGACUGAAGCCGGUGCCUAGGCCGAAGCCAGAACAAGGGCGCACAACGCCGAACCACGAUCAAUCAGAUCGAAACACAUGACAAGAGAGUCGAUGUGUUGCCUGGACCCAAGGUCCACAGAGUCCAACCGACCAACAAGGUCACUGAUACAAAGUACAAGAACCGACCAACUAGGUCAACAGAUACGGAAUGCAGAUAGAACUACUCUACUCCUACUCAGGAUACUAAGCAUGCAAACAACGAGUAGAGUAUAACGAAUAACAAGGAUGCAAGGCUCAAUAUAGGUACUAUGUAGUCAUAAUAACCAAAGAGUAAGGGUAAGAAACCAUCACCGAGCGUGCACCACUGUACCGACUUCGGAUCGAAGUACCCACCUGUAAGGAUGUCGCGCCUGUCUUCUGACUGUGAAAGAAUGUCAACCAGACCUACAGAGGGUCCACUGGGUUAAUAUCUAACCCACAACUAAGCAUAACCUCACAAUUAAACCCACGGAGAUCGGUUUUCCAAAACCGACUAUCGUAACUCGCCAGAAGUCCCGAAACUGCACCGGGACUCCGUCGGGACCCAUGAACUGUUCCGGAAUGCACCGACUCGCGCUACGAGUCACCCGCUACCACAAAAAACAUCAAAUAGGAUGUCUUGGCAGCAAACACAAGAAUACACAACCAAACAACUAUCGUCGGAUAAUCGUUCGCAUCCGGAUUCCCGGAAGUGUCAAUUUCGACACUGGAACCCACCAUAGCUCACCCGUCGUUUUCGAACCCCCGAAACGACCCGGGUGACCAGCCAACCAAGCUCAGCGACUACACAAUAGUUCAUGAAGCACCGUCGGAAUAAUUCCGAGCCGAAGCCGCGUUCCGUCGGCGGAUUUCGUCGAGAAACGCUUCGAAAAUCAAUAUUUGAUUUCCGCAAGGGCCGGGGCCUUGAAAAAUCAGUCCAGAGGUUACCCUCAGCCUACACUUGCUUUCAACAGCAAUCUCGAAGAACAAAAUUGCAUAAAAGCCCUCCCGAUUACCCGAAAUCACAUUAUUUUAUGUGAUUUCGGCGCAUUUAUGGUCCGUCUACACAAACCAGAAGUUAAUCAGCCAAACCAAGACACCCGUUGAUAGGUCUCAGCAUGACGGAGGCCGUGCUCACCUUUCGGAGCACUGCCGGCCACUGUGGCACGCGUACAAGCGACGCGAAAGUCUGCAAAAUAGCGCGCACGGCGCUUAAAUCGCAGUUAACUCGCUAACCAGGGCAUCUAUAACCCUAAUGGAGAUGAGCACAAUGUUCAGCACGAAUCCACGAUCAUCGUGCUCACCUCCAUGGGUGUCGGGGUGUCUUCGAAUCACCGAAACAGUGAAUGGAAACUCAAACUAUAAUGCUGGAACGUAAAAACAGCAUACCGGAGCUGGGGAGAGUUAGGGUUGGCCGCUGGCGGCCGGACAGUGAGCGCUCCGGCCGGGGAUGGGAGCUGCCGGUCCGUGGGGUCCGGGGAAGGUGCUAGCCGGCGGCGGGCAGCAACCGGUGGCGCGGCGGAGGAGAUCAACUCCUCAAAAGUGUCCGCGGGUUCAAGGGCGUCGGCGGCAAGGCAGCGGCCGGAGGAGCUCGGGACGGCGCCGCUUCGACGCCGAAGGCCAAGGGGAAGAUGGUGCACCCGCCGGUGGGCGGAGGCAGCGCUUGGAAGCCGAGGGGACUCGGCCACGGCCCGCACGGGUGUGGGCGGCCGUAAAAUGGAGGAGCGGUAGCCGGCGGUCCACGGGGAUGGCCGGGAUGGCGAGCGGCGGCGAGCUGGAGGUCGCUGGAGGCCGUGGGAGUACGGCGCGGCUCGCGGGGAACGGUGGCAGCGCGUGGAGGCAGGGAUCACCCCGGCUCGGCCUGGGUGAUUGCCGCUGGCCGCAGGGAGCUCGAGCAGCUUCGGCGAGGUGCGGGGACGGCGGAGGCCGGCGGGAACUACGUCGGGAAUGGGUCUCUGCCCAGGAAAGCUUCCAGGGAGGGUUUGUGGCAGUUUCCCAAGCAGCUUCGGCAGAGAGAAGUGGGUGGCCGAGAGGGAAGGAGAGGAAGAUGAUGAUGGGCUUUCCGGCGACUGGAGCCGUUCGUCGGACGUCGGGACAUGUGCACAGGCAGGGCAGGGAUGAUGGUAGGGCGGCUAGGAUUUGCUGAGUGAACUUGGGCAGCAAAAGGACCAAGGAAAACCCUAGUUACUACAUUUAUACUAGGUGCCAUUUUGCAAGAAACCCCUUCAAGGUCAACUAUUUACAGCUAGGUCCCCUGCCAGCACGUGUAUUAUGCGCCUAAGUCCCCCGACGUUCGAAUUCGUGCAAAACAGCACAUAAAAUAUUGGACAUUUUCGCGAUUUAACCAUUUUGCCCAUUUGACCUCUCAGCGAACAUCUCGCUUUUUUCGAAGAUCCGUCUAUCGGAUUUCCGAUCGGAUCACGCCAACGCGUUCAGCACGACUGGGGCAUGGAAUCUAGCAUUUCGUUUCGUCCGAAUUGAUCUCCGAUUCAUGACGAAACCCACCCUCAUUGUUUCCACCAUAUAACCACAUAUAUUUAUAUAUGUAAAACCGAUCAAACCCCUUUUUCUUGACAACCGAGUAUCAGAAUCCAAUUCCGUCAGUACCAUUGGGUUCAGAAUAGUCGAGCCGUUCGAAACGAGCUAUUGGAGUCCUAUGUUCGGAGUCCAAUAUGCACCAGAACCCUUCUCUACUCACUGGCUCAUCUGAAAAGCCGGAGUUACUAUUUACUUUAAGUUGUCGGUCUUGGUCGCGUAACUUCUCCAUUCUAACUCAUUUUCUCCUGAAACUUGACGAGUGCUUAUGUAAUUAAAUUACACACUGAAACGUCGUCAACAGAGGGUUUAGUUGCACUGCCAAAAUCUCAGUCCUUACACUUAGGAAAGUCGAGGGCGAGCCAAAGGGGGAGGCUUGGGUCCCCUUGUUGCUCGGGCUCAUAGAAUAGGGAGAGAGAGAGAGAAGAUGAGAGAGGGAAGGUGAGAGAGAGGUUGGACAGCUUCUCCGACAGCUGGAGGAGGUCGCCGGCGAGGGUGGCGGUGCGUGGGGCACAAGGGAGGGAUUGGAGGUGCUACUGUAAAGAGAGGAAAAUGUGAGGCUAGGGUUAGAGAGUGGGGAAGAGAUGAGAGAUCCUAGGGGUCAAAAAGCCUCAUUUGGUAUUUUUGCACAUAAGCCAAUAAUUUCCCACAAAUUUUUUGCCAAGUCCUCAAAGCACGCGUAAAACAUUGAAUGGCACCCCCACGUGCGAUUUCGUACGAAUCGGAAUAUAAAAUGUUGGGGGAUUUUCUAAAAUUCAUUUUUUUUUCCAAUUUGGCCUUUUCUCGAUUUUUGUGCAAUUGCGGUAAAUCCGUACGCUGGGAGUCCCAAAAACACACCGAGAUGCCCCCGGGAUCCACGAAACAUCUUUAAAUGCAUUAACUCACACCGGGAGUCACCUGCUAUCCAAAAACACACCUAUUUGGGUGUCCAAACAGCAAACACAAGUGUCUAAGUCAACUCGAUCGUCGCCGAUCGACCGUUCACUACCAGGCUUCCGGAAGUGUCUAUUUUGGCACCGGAAACCUCCGCCGCUCAUCAGUCACCUUUAAACACUAGAGAGGAACACGGCGGCCAGCCAACGAGACUAGGCGAUGAUUUUCGGGCAACCAUACAGUUGAAAAACCAUCGCGAUGCAAAGUCGCAUUCUACCGGCGAUUUCGCUGAAAAAUGCACUGAAACCCUACUUUCGAUCGCACGAGAGCUUUGAAACCUGGACAACAAGUCUAGAGGAUCACAACAAGUGACCAUACGCUGCCCGAGCCAGCCCAUAAUGCCUUAAAUGCAAGAUGGCCGGCCCCUAAGGGACCGGAUAAAUGCAAUGUUAUGUACAAAAUAGCAAUGUUUAGGGUUGUUACCGAAAUCCGCGCACCUCUAGGAUAGAGAGAGGGCACGAGCUGAUAGAUUUCGAUGUGCCAAACACUGUGCUCACUAUUCGGAGUGCGUAUGAUAGCCAAAGAGCGCUGUGGAGCUUCACCAAGAUCAGUGCACAAAGGGUUUCGGGAGAGGGAAAGCCAAAUCUCGGCGAUGGAAGGUUGUUGGCAGCAACCGAGGUGAGCACAGCAUUUAGCGAGCGACAAGGAUCACCGUGCUCACUUUCGGGGGGUUCGGGGAGCAUCGGACGGUCGAAAAACAUCAAAAAAGGCAAAACAAGACCUAAAUGACUAGUGGUAGGGAGUAGCAAGCUCCGGCCGGCCGGCGGCGGCAUGUCGACGCGCACGUCGGCCGAGAUUGACUGCAGAGAGGUAGGGGAGUCUAGUGCUUUCCUCGAUCGGCGGCCGUAAGCGGCGGAGGCGGCGGCAACGACGACGCCUCAGGAAGGCAUGGCCUGCAUAGCUAGGGCUCGGGCUUGGGUGCCUUGGCGGCGGCGGCGGCGGUAGCGGUCGAGAAAGCCAUGGGGUGGCGACGUCGAGUCGCCUGAGGCCGAAGGAGGCGUGCCGGGGGUUGGCGGUGGCAACGACCGCGACCGGAGAGGGCUCGGGUCACCUCAGCUCUAGCUGCUUGAGAAGAGAAGCCCACGACAGCAGCUGCUUUAGUGGGGCACUAGGGCACCGGAGGAUGCUGCCGAAGCUAGAGGGUGACAGGGAGAGGCCGAGGAGUGGGAGCUCGGGUCACCUUCGUGCUCGGACUCACCAAAAGGAGGGAGAGGGAGAGGGAGAGAAAGAGAAAAAGUGAGAGAGGGAGAGUGGAGAGAGAUUCUGGUGGCUGGAGAUAGUUGCCGGUUGGGGUGGCAGCGCGUGGCACACAGGGGAUGGGGUGCUAAGGGUGCUGUGGAGAGGGGAGAGUCAGAGGGGUUAGGGUUUGAGUAGGGGAGAGGAGAAAACCCUAAGUGGUUUAAAAGCCUCAUGUGGCAAUUUUGCAGAAAAACCCCUCCAAGCUCCAAUUUUAUGCCAAGCCCCUCACAACAUGUGUAGAACACCGAAUGGCACCCCCAUGUGCAUUUUUGUGCAAAUCGGAACAUAAAUGUUGGGGGAUUCUCUGAAAUUCAAUUUUUCCCAAAUGAACCCUUUCUCGAUUUUCGCACAAUUGCGGUAAAUCCGUCCAUCAGAUUUAUGAACGGACUGCACUGGUGCGUUCAACACUGACGGACCUUCAAGAUCACAUUUUUGCAUCGCGUGAUUUGGUCACAGAUUCACAUCAAACCACACCCUCUCUCGGUUCACACACACACACACACACACACACAUAUAUAUAUAUAUAUAACCACGUAUCUAAUAUCAAAUUCGAAAUUUGAAUUCAAAUUCAAUAUUUACUUGAAUUUCUCAUUUCAAAAUAUCCCAGAUAUUACAUAAAUUUGUAUACCUAACAUAAUGAACUUUAGAAGUUAAUGUUGCUGAUUUUUGCAUGUGACUGAUAUAUAAGAAUUAGAUUUUUAAAAUUAUAAUAUUUUAGAAAUUAUACACAAAUCUGUAUAAAGACCUCAUAUAUGUUUGAGAUCUUUUCUAUUAAUUAAAUUUUAAGAAUAUCAAAUUUUGUAUGCAUCCCCAGUUUGCAACCUUGUCAUUUAAAAAGUUUUACUUUUCCUCUCUGUAGUUUAACUUAUUUUUACUUUGCCACUGUAUAGUUCAAAAAGUUAUUUUGCCCUUUGUGAUUUAGCACAUAUUUUUACUUUGCCAUCCUGUGGUUCAUUAAAAAUUUUUACUCCGUCACUCUAAUUCAUAUAGAAUUAUUUUGGUAAAUAAAAAUUAAAUCACAGAGAAUUAAAGUAAAACUUUUUGAACCACAGGAUGACAAAGUAAACAUAAGCUAAACCAUAGGGGCCUAUUUCAAGUUUACUCAAAAAUUAAUAAUUGAGGACACAAGUUUAAAUUUAAAUUUGAUUUUUAAGUUUAAAUUUAAUAACACUGCCACAUAUCUAGAAGUUAAAUUAAUUAGAUGAUACUUUUAAUAAUUGAUUGAACAGUCUAUAAUCAGUAUUUAUAUUGAAUGUCUUUUAGAUUUUUUUAUACCAUAAAAAAUUUAAAAUUAAUUGUACAAUUAAAACUUCAGUUCAAGUUUUAAGUUCAAAUUCGAAUAAAAUUAGAAAUUUAAAACCCCAACACAUUGGAAACUUUAAUAUUGGCUAAUUCUUUUAAUAAUUAAUCAAACAAUUUAUAAUAUAUAUUCAAAGUUUAAUCCAAAUUCUUAUAAUAAAUGAAACAAAGGGUAUAAUUGCAAUUACACAUACUAACAAAAAGAUAGGAUGAGACGAAACCACCAAACUUAUUUGCUUAUAAUAAUGGAGUUGGAAUUAUCAUUAAUAAUAUAAUACCGUAAAUUAUUUCUAAAUUUAAUUCAUACUCAAAUAAAGAAUAUUUUGAUUUUCAUACCUAACCUCUUCAUCAAUCUGUUAGGUGCUGUUGUGAUUCUAGUCAUUUUCAGCAUCUUUUUCUUGAUUGGUAGUUUUCUGUUGUAUUUUGUGUGAACAAAAGCAUACAAAAUGAAUGCUUUUGGGUUUUGAGCAGUAUAAACACACUUUCAUAGGUUGCACUAGUGGUAGAAAAUUUUAUUAUUUGCUUUUGUUGUAAAAUAGAAAAGAAGUAUGGAUUCUUUUUUGGACAAGAAAAGAUAAUGAGUUAUUGGAGGAAACCAAACUUGCACCUAGUGAUUAGUGUUUGCAAUAUUAUAUAUUUCAAUUUGAUUAUUUUAUUUUUGUGAAUUGCGAUUCGAGUUGAGCGAAGUUAACAUGACUUAUAUUUUUUCAAAUAAAACUGGACUCGACAUAGCCAAGAGGUAAGGCCCGAAUUUUUUGCUCCGGUGUAAGUAGUCUGCCUAAAAUUUUUUUGUUCCAAACCGAUUAAGAUCGAUUCGAGCCUUUUUCCAAACCAUAGUCCAAUUUGUUAAAGUUAUUCAAGUUUGAACUUUGUUACCUUGGUGAAGGAUGAUAGAUACGAAAAAUGCGACAUUUAUCGGAUCAUCUUUUGGCCAUUAUUUUUCUUUUGAUAUACAUAAUCCUGUCUUUCAGCAGUCAUUCCAUCAUUCUGAGAAAAAGGAUAAACUACUUUGUUUCAGUAUUGAAGAUUGUAGGAUUAUUGUUUUGUCGUCUCUUUCGUGCCAUUUAUAGCAACAGACUCUAUCUAUUCGGUCCUAUCUUGUGUGCAUGCAGUAUCUCAUUGUGUGAAUGAUUCUAACGUCGUUAUUCUUGUUUUCUCACUAUUUAUGAAGAUUUUUCUAUUUUCUCAUGAAAUGGCUAUUCAAUCAAUUGUGUAGUGAAGAUAGAAGUUGACCAUGGUUAGCUUAAGGAGGCAUGGACAUCUGGGGCAUUCUUUCGGUAAUACUCUUUUGUUGUGACGUUGCUGCCAAUUCUUUCUGCACUAUAAUUGCUAUAUACAUCUUUCGCCAAAUUUUUGUUCUCUUUAAAUUGUUUUUAUGGCAAUAUCAACUUAUUGUAUGAUGUUAGUAAAUCUUACCAUACCUAUUGCAAGGAAAUUUAAUGUCGAUGGGCAUGCUUCGACACAAUUAGUUUGAUUUGUUAUUUGACAUUUAGAAAAGCGUAAUUAGAUAGAUAUACUCGCAAGAGUAUGUUUGUAUGAUUAUCUCUUGAAAGCUAAUACUAGCUAUUUAGCCUUUUAAAUUUUGGAAGUAAGUGCGAUUCUCCCUUGCAUAUACUUCUAUCUCUAGCAAGUUUCUAUUUCGCAAGUAGUUCUAUCAACAUCUCUACUUUAUCUCGCAUGUCGUACCAUCUGAAUUGUAGACCCUAAUCUGCGUAUAAAACUUCUGCUAAAAAUAUUUGGAGUGUCAUGUUUGAAAAUGAAGGAGAUUUCAACAAUGAUGCCAGUGAAAUGAGGGGCACUAAUAUGCCAAGUUUUAAAUUUAGAAUUUGAAUUUUUAAAAUUUAGAAUGAUAUAUGUGUAAUUCACCUUGUUUAAAGAAAUCAAUAAAAGAUUGAUUGUUCUUCUUUUUUUAAUUUUAUUUUAUCUUUUUUUUUACAUUUUUAUUGGAUUGUAGAAAUUUGUUGUCAUUUCUUAAUCGUUUUUUUUUUUCUGCCGGACUUAUCAAUUUCUCCUCCUUUUAUUUUAUUUUUAGGUAAAAAUUUAUUUGCGGUAGAUCUUCCUAAGAACAAUGAGGAUGAAAAAACUAUGAAGAAUUCUACUUUACAUGUUAAGUUCCGUAACGUGCAUCCCUUGCCUCCAAUUAAGUUGAAUAUACAAAUGCCGUAAGAAUCUAUUUGGCUAUUUGACCAACUUCAACAAUAAAAUCUUAUGUGGUACACAAUUUUUUUUUUUUUUUGUGAUUGCAUCUUAGGAGUUUGCCUUGAGCCUCAUUACAUGGUCUCGGCAGUAUAAUAUUUUAGCAUAAUGCAUUCCACCAACAAGAUGAUUUAUCUUGUUCUGAGAAAAUGACUUGAUGGCCAUAUGUUAUAUUGUUGUAGACAUCUACUCUCCAACAGUUACUUUCAGGUCCUUGAGUAAAUAGUAGAGAUAUACUAAACAAGAUGUUUCGGCAUAAAUGUUUGCCAUGAUAAAUGCUUCGUCUUCUAAUUACCUUUUUUUUUAAUGGAAAAGCUCCACUUUAAUGUUCAUGCAUAGUGGUGUAUCAUCUUUAUUGGAUUAUUCUUAAUUCUUAGUAUUGUGUUCUUUUAAUUCUUCUGCAAAAUCUUAUCUUCCUGGUUGUGUACUGAAAACUUUGAUGAUUUGAUCCAUUUGCUCAAUAUUACCCUACAGGAAAACAAUUCUGAAUCAGUCCCCAAGUCCUCCAAUGCAGCUACUUUCGACUCCCCAAAGGAAGGGACCAAUUACUAUCCUUGUUGGUUCUUACUUAAAUUUGCUACUUGAAUUGAUUGUGCAAUUGAUUUCUGCUAUGUAGUUUUUGUGCAUCUAUAAUCAUUAGCUGUGGAAUCGUAGAGAUAGUAAUAUGAGAGUUUCAUAUCACAUGGACGACUUGCUAUUUGACAAGUGAAUUGAUUAGAGCAAGGUCUGUAUUUUUAGCCUAAACUGAUUUACUUUGGUCAAAACAUAUUGGUUUCAGCAAAGGUCAAUCAGAAAAUAGAAAAAAGUUUUCGUUUUGGCUAUUUUUAACCAACUUCAUGCAUUUUUUAUGGUUCCAGCAGUUUAACUUAAUUAACAAGAAGAUUUAAUAGGCUUUUUGGCUCUAUUUUCACGGAGUAGGGGGUGGCUGCUGGUCGCAGCAGUAGGUAGGCAUCAUUUGCUGCUUGGAGACUCGCUGUUGCAAAGUUUGGACGAGCAAGCAACCAUAGUUAGGUUCCAUAGCCUAAAAUGGCAAUUUUUGAAAAUUCAAUACAGUGGAUUUUGGGGUUUUCGCACUUAGAUUGCACCACUUGGUGUGUGGGUGCCCCGAUAUCCAAAAGUGAGUGUUUUGGGAUAGCGUAGACGAGUGAAUGACUUUGAGAGUGUUUCGAAACACUUUGGGGCUAGUAUAUAAAUUAAAUUUAACUUAAUUAAUUUAGAAUCAUUUUUUACGCUGCACGUGUUAAUUAGCAUACUAAAUUUAAAAUAAAAAUUAUAUAUUAAAUUAUUUUAAAAAUAAAAUAAUAUUUAAAUUUGUGUUAUACAGUGUAAUUUUAGAAUUUCUAUAAUGAUCAAACUAAAUAAAAGAUUUUUUGCCUUAACUUUAGUUCAUAGUUAAGAAUGAUAUUAAGUUAUUAUGUCAUGCCCCAGGGUCCAGCAUUACCAGGCUUGCUGUAAUAUCCGAGAUUUUGAUCAAUAAAGGAAAUGCAAAUUUUGAAUUUUUGAAUUCAAAUUUUAUAUAUAUAUAUAUAUAUAUAUAUAUAUAUAUAUAUAUAUAUAUAUAUAUAUAUAUAUAUAUGUGUGUGUGUGUGUGUGUGUGUGUAUAGUUAUAUUGGUGGACUUCGGAGAGGAUGGAUUCCGUCGCAAAUCGACGACCAAAUCUGAUGAAACAAAAUUGUAGUUUCGAUGCCCCAGUCGUGCUAAACGCGUUGGCGCAAUCCGAUCGAAAAUCCGACGGACGGAUCUUCGGGAAUUGCAUAAUGUUCACUGAGGGGUCGAAAGUGGCAAAACGAAAAAUUCGCGAAAAGCCCUAUAUUUUAUGUAGCGUUUUGCGCGNAAGGGGUCGAAAUUGGCAAAACGAAAAAUUUGAGAAAAACCCAAUAUUUUAUGUACCGUUUUGCGCGAUUUUGAACGUCGAGGUACGUACGCGCAAGAUGCACAUGCUGGCAGGGACUGGAGUGAAAAUAAUCAGCUAAGAGGGACCUUUUUGCAAAAUGUGUACAUGUUAUAUAUAGUUGCAACUAGGGUUUCAUGGUAAAACCCUAGCUUUUGGACUUCUCCUCGGCUGAGCUAAACCUUAGCCCUCACAGCUUGUCCCUGCCCUAGUCGUGCACACGCCUUGGCUGCCGGCGAGCACCCCCGGCCGCCGGAAAAGCCACCCCGACCUCCCUAUCAACUCCUCUCUCCAUAUUGUCUCCACCAUCUCAGCCGACAGCGACAGGGAAACACCCAAACGUGUCUGGCCCUCACCCUCUGGCCGAGGCCAACCUCCGGCAUCAUCCCCGCCGGCCCCCGCUAACCAAGCGCGCUACCGGCACUGCCUGGGUUUCCUACGGCCAACCGCGGCCAGCUCAGGCCAAGCCUAGCUUGGCCCGUGCCCCGUGAGCUUUUGCCGCUUUUGCUCGACCGCGCCGCCCUUCGACGACCUCUAGUGACCUCCCGCUCACUGUCUCGUCGUCCCAGAGCGCCGCCGGCCGUCGCUCGUGCUCACUGCGGCCGCCCAGACUCAAAGUGGGCUGAGGCCGAGUCACCUCGGCCCCGCGCGUCAGCGCCCCCCACCGUCGACCGCACCGCCCUCCCUCAGCCUCUGGCGAUCGGCCACCGUCGUCCCGAGGCUCCUCCGGCCACCGCGCGUCACUGCCACCCACUGCCGGCCGCACCGCCCUCCCUCGGUCUCCGGCGACCGGCCGCCGUCGCCCCGAGGCUCCUCCGGCCGUCUCCUGGCCGCCGCUGCCUCCUUGAGCCGUGCCGAGUUGUGCAGGCUUGAUCUCCUCCGUCGCGCCACCGGCCGCCUCCCGUCGCCGGCCAGCACGUGCCUCGGCCCCCACUAACCGGCCGUACCGUUCCCUGCCAGCGCGCCUGCCGUUCGGCCGUCGUCGGUCAGCCUGUGCUCCCACUGGUCCGAUAAGCAUUAAUUCGUGUUUUCUAAGCACUGUUUCGGGUUCCGGUCGCUUUUUCGGUGAUCCAGAGACACCCCGACACCUCUGAAAGUGAGCAUGAUGAUCCCUGAUCCGUGCCGAACAUCGUGCUCACCUCAAUUUCGGUUAGCGAAGCCCUAGUGUGAGUAUUAAACGCAGUUUAGACACUGUGAGCACUAUUUUGCUGAACUUCGUGUCGCUCGCGCGCUCGCUACAGUGGCCGGCCAUGCUCCGAAGCGUGAGCACGGCCUCUGACACAUCGAGACCUGUCAGCGGAUGUCUCGGCUUAACUAGAAUACCCUUGGUUUGUGCAGUCGGGCCAUAAAACUCCGAAAAUCACAUAAAAUAAUGUGAUUUUUUGUAGUUGCGGGGGUUUCUACGCAAUUGUACAUUUUGUGGUCAAUGUUGGCAGCGUGUGCGGGCAGUGGGUGACCUUUGGACUGGUUGUCCAACGCCCCAGGCAUUUUCGAAAAUUGAAAGUUGAUUUCCGGUUCGUUUUCCGACGAAAUUCGCCGACGAAACGCGAUUUCGGUUCGGAAUUCUUCCGAUGGUGCCUCGUGAUAAAUUGUUUUGUCGCUGAGCCUUGUUUGCUGGUCACCCACAUCAUUUCGUGGGUUCGAAAAUGACGGGUGAGUGAUGGUGGGUUCCGGUGUCGAAUUUGACACUUCUGGAAACUCGGAUCGGAACGAUUAUUCGACGAUAAUUGUUUCGAUGUGAGGUGGUGUGUUUGUUGCCAAGUCCCAUGAAUAAUGGUGUUUAGUGGCAUCGGGUGACUCGUAGCACGAGUCGGUGAGUUUUGGGACAGUUCGUGGGUCCCGGCAGAGUCCCGAUACGAUUUUCGGGACUUCCGGCGUAUUGCGGCAAUCGGUCUUGGGAAACCGAUUCCCAUAGGUUUAUUGGCGGGGUUUGUGAGUUAGUGCUUCGUGUUGUGGGUUGGAUGCUAACCCGGUGGACCCUUCGUAGGUCCGGUUGUUACUUCCUUCGCAGUUAGAAGGCCAGUACCGUAUUUGUACAGGUAGGUACUUCGAUCCGAAGUCGGUACAGCAGUGCACGCUCGGUGACAUUCCCUUCACUCUUUCCUAUGUUUAUUUGGCAUAUUAUAUGUUGAGCCUAGCACCUAUACCAUAUUUUUUUAUUGCUCUACUUAGUUAUUUUGCAUAUUCUGUAUCAUGUUUAGAAGUAGAGUGAUUUCGUGAUUAUGACCUAGUCUGUUAGUGCGUUGCAUUUGUUUUGUGACCUAGUUGGUCGGUUCUUGUAUCUCGUAUCUGUGACCUAUUCGGUCGGUUUACUGCAUUGUUAUCAUGACCUACUUGGUCAGUUGGACUAUUUGAUGACCUAUACGGUCGGUAUACCCUGAAGGGUAGGAUUGUCGGCUAGCUACCGAUGGUUGGUUAUUGAGCAUAUUAGCAUCGAUCACUACUGCUCGUACGCAUUUCACGAAUACCAGCGGCUUGAUCCACCGCAAGAGGGUGUUCUUUUCUGGAAAAGUGGUUGGGAGUGCCAGCCUGUGAGCUCGGGUGCUUUAUGCGAGGGUUAUAUGCUUUUCAGACCCGGGUGCUUAUGCGAGGGUCAGUUACAGAUUAGAGCAGUUGUGGUACAGGCCUGAGGUGUGCGGACCAAUAUGGCAGUUUCAGAUUGGGUAUCUUUGGACUUCUCGUCCGGUUGAUGCAUACAUAUAGUAGCAGUAGUUAUUCAUUUAUACAUCUCGUUUCUAUAUUAUCGUUGCUACUGUUUACACUUACCCAUACUGUUGUAUAUUCUCCUUGAUUGGUGAGUACCCCUCGCCCUCGUCGGCUUGCGGUACCCACUGGAGGGGAGACUACUAGAAAAUUAGUCAUUAGUGGCAUUUAUUUAUGCUGCUAAAUGAUCAACAAAUGCUGUUAAAAGUUUUAGCAGCAUAUGAUACUAAAUGCUGCCUAUGCUAAUUUUCCUAAAAGUAUUAGUAGCAUUAAUUAUAAAUGCCGCCAAUAUAAAUCAAUUAGUGUCAUUAGGAAUAUGCCGCUAAAAGGGAUUAAAUGCUAAUUUUAAAUUAUUUAUUAGUGGCACAUAAAUAUAAUGCCGCUAAUACAAAUAUCUGAUUUUAGAAAUUAAAAUUUUAAAAUUUUAAUUUUAUAUUUAAUUUUUUUGAGAUGCUAACCACUUCAUUUAUUUCUUUUUGUCUUAAACUUUGUUGGAAAUGUGAAUCAACUAGGAUUCGAACUUGAGAUCUCGAGUACCAACAACCAAGUCCUUUGCCACUUGCGCUAGCGACUAUUAGUUAUGUAUAUUUUAAUUUUUUAUAUUUUAAGUCUUCUAUUUUAAAAUUUUAAAAUUUUAAAAUUUUAAAAUUAGAUACUAAAUUUAAAUUUUUAAUUUUGAAAUAUGAAAUUUUAAGUUUCAAAAUUAAUAGUUUUAAAUUUGAAAUUUAAAAUUUAAAAUAAAUUUAAAAUUUUAAAAUUUAAAAAUUAAUAAAUGCUGCGGAGUAAAUGCCGCUAAAUCAUGAAUUUGUAGUAGUGACAUGUGUACAUGUUCUCACCCCCCACCCCCAUUACAGGUGACGUCGCGGGUCCUAGUGGGACGGAUCGUGAGGAGCGUACUUAGCGAUCAUUAGAGCCACUGUCCUGUCAUUUGGUUUAACUCUUAACUCAGUUUCUUUUAAUAAAUGACUUAGAUAGCAUUUAUGGUUCAGUAUUUUAUAUGAAUUGAAUUAUUGGGAUUUUACGAAUGUAAUAAAGGAUUUGUGAUUCUUGUAAACUGAAAAUAGUUUUCUACCCCUCGUGGUAGUGAGUUUUAAAAGGAAAAUGUUUCCGUGUGGGAAACAAUUUUUAAAAGGUUUUUCUUGAUUUUCAUGACUUAGAGUUUUUAAAAUGAGUUUCCGGGUGGGAAACAUUUUAAACUAAUAGUUGUGAAUUUAUGGAUAAAUUCUGAAUGUGAAUGUGAAUGUGAAUGUGAAUGGUGUGUGAAUAUAUGGAUGUUCAUUUGUGGUGGUUGUAUCCUGUAUUGCGAAUUAUGAUCUUAUACUUGUGCGACACCGUGCAAAUACAGGAGAGACUCUGUCCAUGUGAACAGUGAACUCUCUAUAUUUGUCGUGGAUCUGGCACACUCUAGAAGUCAACUUUUCAAAAAAAAAAAAUUGUGCACUUCCGCAUUGCUUUUAAAUCAAAUAGGGACCCUUGGGCGUGACACUUGCCAACAGAUCCGCCACAUACACAAGAAGCCUUGUGUACACGAAGCGAUAGAAGCACCUAUAAACAAUACAAGAACCACUACUAGAAAGUAACAGAGCUACUAAAAUGAAAAUAAAUAGUCACUUAUACAGACAUGUAAUCCAAGGUGUAACAUAAACCAAAGGUACAACAUCAACACCUCACAACUCUCAGCAGAUGAAACAAAAUACAAUUAUAUGUACAUGACUAUAAACAACUACUGUCACCACUGCCAAUCCAAAGGGACCUCCGACCGGCCAGUUCAGCCUGUACCGAAGCUACUCCACGCACUACCCACAAGGGUUACUGAUCUCAGUAGAAUGCCUAAAAGGACUGCUACGACAAGAACGCAAAAAGGCCUCACUUCGGAGCUGCACUCGGGGGAGCUACCAAACCGAGCAAAAGAGCGUACUCUAUCUAGCUCAAUCAGGCUCACGCAGGCUAUAGUCGAUGCAAAUGCUCAAACGGGUCGAAGAACCAAAGCUCACGUGCCUUCGGCACAAUCUGAUGCAAAAAAUACAGAUCUGGGUCCAUCGUUAAUCCGGACAACACCUGACAAUAGAAACAGUCUAAACACUACUGUAAAAAUUUACUCGGCAUCUUAGCAUGAGAGUAAUCUCAAGCUACACUAAUCUGAGUAUCUGUGACGCACUAGCAGCGGCAAUACAAUAGUGAAAAUAGCUCAUGAAGCUAAAUCUGAUCAAAUGGAUGACAAGUUUAAUGUGUAGGUUUUCUCCUAAGUUAAUUUCCAAUUCAGCAUGUAGUAAUCAUCUAUAUUAACGAAAUUAAGCUCCAAAUUCAAAUUUCAUAUAAUAACAUAUGAAUCUAUAAUUUGAGCUACAAAACAUGAUGAUCGAUACAAAAGAAUGCAUGCUAAAAUCUUUACAACUUAGAAGGAAUUCCAUAGAUUUCGAUAGAUAUUAACCCACUUAAAUAAAUAAUCCAACCACAGAGCAAAGGACUUCGCUUAUGAGAACUCCAACUCCAACUCAACUAAGCUUCACUGCAAGGAUCUAAAAGAUUUGGAUUCCCAGACCUUCAACCCAGAUUUGCAGGAAAACCCAAAAUAGCAAGCAUAAAUUUUGAAAUUUAGAGCUAAAAAUUUGGGAAUUGAAGUUUAAAAAUACACUCAACCUACCUUAGAGCAGAAGGCUUAAAUUUCCAAAUAAGUUGCUGUCACGCCCCGGGGCCCCUUUUCAGUUUAAAACAAAGCGGAAAGCGACUGAAAUUUUUUUUUUGAAAACCUGACCCCAGAGUAUGCCAGAUCCGCCACAAACACAGGGAAUCCACUGUUCACACGGACAGAGUCUCCCCUGUAUUUGCACGGCGUCACACAAGUACAAGAAGUAACCCAGGUACAACCACAACCAAAUGAACAUACAAAUAACCAACAAUUAUAUAUUCAUACACCAUUCACAUCACAGGUUCACAUUUAUGUAUUCGAUAUUCAAACAUAAAUCCACAUCUAUCAGUUAAAAAGUUUCCAACCACAGAAACAUGUUUUGAAAUGCUAAGAUGCAAAAUCCACAGAAAACCUUUCGAAAACUGUUUCCUACACGAAAACCUUUAUUCUUUACAAACGCUACCACGAGGGGUAGAAAAUCUUUUAUUUCACAAAAUUCAUUUAUUACAUUCACGAAAAUCCAUAUUUUCAAAUGUAAUAAAAAUACUGAACCAUAUAACUGUCUAAGCUAUAACAACUGAAAUACUAAGGGUAAUAACUAUACCGAAAUAACCUGGGUCGGAAGCUCUAUCGUCCGCUACACACGUACCUCACGUCUCGUCCCACUACUCAACGCCCGCGAUACCUGAAAAAUGGUGGGGGAGGUGAGAACAUGUAAACAUGUCUCCCCUCCCAGUGGGUACCGCAAGCCGAAGAAGGCGAGGAGUACUCACCGGAUCAGGAAGAGAUAACCAACAAUAUGGGUAAGUAAAAUACAGUAGUAACGAUAAUGGACGAACGAGAUAUAUAUAUAUGAAAACACAACUACCGCUACUAUAAUGUACAACUGCAAGCAUACAAAGAUAUCAAAACUAUAGUAGCAAGACAACUGUAAAGAAAGAACUAGAAGUACAUAUGCAACAACCGCUACUAUAGCUAUAUGCGUCAACCGGACGAGAAGUCCAAAAGUACCCAAUCUAAACCGCCGUGUCGGUCUAAGGACCUCAGGCAAAAGCCACUAUCUGCUCACACCUGGCAUGUAACCCUAGCACAAGAGAACACCGCUGGGCUCACGGGUCGGAUGUACGACCACUUUUCCGGAAAAGAACACCCUCCUGCGGGGGAUCAACCCGCUGGUGUACGUGAAAUGCACUCGAGCUGUGGCGAUCAAUGCGGAUAUGAUCAAUAGCCAACCGUCGGCAAUCAGCCGACAAUCACUGCCCCUCCGGGCAUACCGACCGUGUAGGUCAUCAAGCAACAAAGUGAACCAACCGAGAUAGGUCAAUGUACGGAAAGUAACGAACGACCAAACAGGUCACCGAUGCAAAUAGGAG
rnacentral:lncRNA from 1 species